rnacentral:rRNA from 1 species
CAGCCGCCGCGGGAAUACGAAGGGUGCAAGCGUUACUCGGAAUUACUGGGCGUAAAGCGUGUGUAGGUGGUUGUUUAAGUCUGUCGUGAAAGCCCUGGGCUCAACCUGGGAAUUGCGAUGGAUACUGGGCGACUAGAGUGCGGUAGAGGAUAGUGGAAUUUCCGGUGUAGCAGUGAAAUGCGUAGAGAUCGGAAGGAACAUCUGUGGCGAAGGCGACUAUCUGGGCCAACACUGACACUGAGACACGAAAGCGUGGGGAGCAAACAGGAUUAGAUACCCGCGUAGUCCCUGUCUCUUAUAC